CCAGACGUCUGCCUUCUGAUCCUUGAAGAGUUCAUGGACCUAAGUUAAGAACCUCUCCUCAAGAGACUGAAUGCAGGCAGAGAUGGCUUAUUGGUUCAUCACAGGUUAUGUAAACUACCCACUGUAAGAUCCCCAGAUUCCUUGGGGCUAAAAGGUGUCCCAAGAGGGUUUACAACAUUGCCAGAAAUUAGUGGGGUCACUUCUGUCCAGGUUCUCGUUUUCAGCCUUGUGUGUCUAAAAAAUAUAUUUUUUAUUCUGCAUUCUAAGGUGAGCAGGGUUUAAGAUUAGACUCACAUUAACUAGAUUUGUAAGAGGCAGAAGUAUAAUGCAUAUUUUAUCCACUCAAUCACUCAUAUAGUCAAUCAUUCAUAUAGUCUUCCAUUCCUUCGGAGCACACUGUUAGGCACACACUGAUUGACCACUACUGUGUGCCAGGCACAAAAUACAUGCUAGGAUCAGUGGUCUCUGAAUAGUAGUUGAAGACAUAAUCCCGGAUCUCUGGGAACUGAUGGUGGUUUACAGUGGUCCUCAGCUUCCCUUUUCACCCAUGACACAUGCAUGACCAUGAUAUUUACUCUAGGGAAAUCCAUUUUACUUCCACCCAUUCCUGCAUUAGCUCACUUCCAUAUAGAAAUUUUAAUCUCAGAAGAGCUUUGGAGGAAGCUUCUAUCCUAGUCUGCUCUUCCCCAUGAAAGAAUGGCUUUCAGAGUCACAUGUGUUCUCUCAGCUUCUACCUCUUCUGUAAGGUCAGUCCCCUGGGACAGCCCUUUCCCUGAGUCAGGGUGAUAGGAGGGGUGGGAAAGAGAAGGAGAGAGGAAAAGAAAGAGAGAAGCUUGAAGUUUUAUAGCUGUAACUGAGUAAGUCAUCUCUAUCAGAAGAGGCAGGAGUGGGAAACCUGUUUUUGACUCAUUUCUAAGCCAUGUGUUCUAAUUCAUAUUUACCAGCAUGGGAAAACAGUUCAUCCCUACCUAACUCUCAGGUCUGUGGCUCAUUUGAGGGGGAAAACUAUAAUUAUCACCAAUUUACACUUUCCUAUGGCCAUGUCCAGGUUCUCCAUGUCCUUACAACUCCACAAUUUUUUUCCCCAAUGCAAGAAUGACAUUAUUAAGUCCAUAAUUCACUUUAAUGGAUCUUUAUUCAACAAAUAUGUAUUAAGCACUGGGCUAGACGCUAAGGAUUGAAGCAGGAAUAACAUCAAGGAGGAAGUGCUGCUCUCCUGGAGCUUACAUUCUGGAGGACAGACACUGGUUACAAUUAAACCAAGAUAUGGAUGAGAUUCUGAAAAGUUCUUUAGAAAAAAUAGGCCACAGGCUGGAGAGAGAAUAACCAGAUGACGUUUAUGUUGACAAGGUGGCCAGGGAAGUCUUCACUGAGAAGAAGGCAUUUGACUUGAGACCUGUAGGACAAGAAGCUGGGCAGGUGAAGGCUGGGCAGAGAACAUUCCAAGCAGAGAAAACUGCAUGAGGCCUGAGUUUCAGCUGAAGCUUGGCAUGUCUGGAGAAAGAAAAAGUUUGCAUAUUUUUACUUAAUUGUGUUCAAAGAAAAAUACAUGUGAUAAUCUUGGUUUGAUGUACAAGUGGUAUGAAUGCACAGAUUACUCCUAAAAGAAUUUUUCUUUAUGUGUAUAUAUGUUACUAAUUUUACCUAUCACACUUUGGGAAAACUAAUCACUUUUAGGCCCAUACUAGAGAACUUAUGGAUAAUUCUGGAGACUUGAAUAUCUACCAGCCUCAGUAACUGUCUUUCUAGAACAGCACUGGAUAAGUCCUGCCUUAGUCUUCCUUUUGUCCUAGACUACAAAUAUUCUCUUCAUGUUGAUCCACUUUAUCUUCAGUUUGACAUACCUUAGACUUUUAAACAAUCCAUUCACAUAGCAAGCUUCAUGCAAUGUCAUCCAAAAAGAUUUCUAAUUUCUCUAAAGUUUUGGCCCUUCUUCCUGUCUUUGGUGAGAUUCCUUCACCCCUAAGGACCUCUGCAAUGUUAUAAAUAUUCACCAUUUAUUAUAUAUAUUUUUUUUCUCUAGCUGUUUCCAAGUUCCUACUCUGGGAGCAAGCCAUACCCAGCACUUCCUCUUCUCCCUCUCUGUGUCCCACUGCCACUGAGUGAAGCCACACUCGGUCCAACUGGCGGAUCUUUCUACCCUCCCUUCCCUCUAAAUAUCCUUUGGCCUCAAAUGCUAAUUGAAGAGCUCAGAAAGAGGACAUUAAGAAGGGGGCUUUCUGGUGGGCAACAAUGAAUCACCGGCAGAAUCACUGUUCAGACAGGCGGAGACGGGUCUUUCUCGCCCUCUGAUGAGUCACCACUGUGGUGGGGGGGAGUGGACAGUCAGCCAGACAGAUAAUGUGUCAGUCUCUCUCCUCAGCCUGACCCUGGACAUCAAAAUAGACUGCGGUUCCCUCCUUCUGGGCCCAUUGCUGGCAUUUGACCUAAUGCUGUAGAAAUUUAAACCAACAAGGAGGGUAGUAAAGUUAAGCUUUCUAGGCCAUUGAGCUGAAGUUUUAAUAUUGUAACAGAGAUUCUUAAGACAGGCUUGUCACCCUGGCCAGCGGCUACCCAAGUAAUGUCUUGCUGACCCAGGCCAUCCUCUCCACCGAUAUAAAUGCUCUGUGCUUCAUCUCAAUGUUCUCAUCGUUGAGGUCUCGUUUCAUUUGACAGUGAAAAAUGCAGACCAGAUGAAAACCACUUUCUGCAAGGCAAACAAUAACAACAGCUUCUGUGAAUUAAACAUCUACUGUGCCAGGCACUUGGCAAACAUCAUCUCAUUUAAUUCUCACACCUUCUCAAGUAGGUAUGGCUCACUCUACGAUACAGACCAUGAAACUGAGGCUCAGAAAGUUGCAGCCAUUUCCCCCAAGUGUUCACGGGUAGGAAAGGGUAAAACUGACUAUAGAAUAAGGUGAUUAUAGAACUUAUCAUCCAAAACAGGGCACUUUUGAAAGUAAAAGGGAGAACUAGUAAUAAUUUCACAGCCACAGAUGCAAAGGGGAAAUGUCCCAGCAAGCCAGAAUAUAAAAAUGCCUGAGUUUUGAACCAGUCUUUUUGGCUCUACAGCCCAGCCCAUUCACCCAAUUGGUUGUCAGGAAGGUAACAGGAGAAGUUCGUAAUCAGCUCCCCUCAUUCUCUUAUGAUUUUUUUGCUUGCUGUUUCCUUUCCCUCUCUUUUCGUUCUGAGAUAGUAGGAUGAAGCCCAAACCUCUGUGCUUUCAAGCAGCCCUGUGGACGAUUCUGAUGUGCUGCCAGGCAUGAGUACUCCUGACGAUAUGAUCUUUGAGGACAGGCAUUUGUUCUUGUUCAUCAUUGUAUCUUAAUAAGUAACAUAUGGGCAUGCAGUAAGUGCUUAAUAAAUGUUCAUUCAAUGAAUGAGUAUGUUAUUGAAUGAAUGCAAUGAUGUGCAGAAGCAAGCAGGGAGGAGUAUCACUGUGUGUCUGAGGAAUAUAAAUGAGUUUGGGGCAUCCAUAUAAAGAGAAAUGAGAAAGAGGAAACAGUGGACACAUCUGCCAGGCUGAGCUUCAAUUUCAUCAUUAAGGCAGAGCCACCAGUCUCUGAGUAGGAAAGUGACACAGUCUGAUUUGCAUUUUGGAAAGAACAUUUGUGUGGUUGUGUUCCAGGUUAAGCCUAUGAGAAACUAGACACUGAAGGUAUUUAAAACAUGUUUUCAAAAGGGCUACCGAGUGCCUAGCAUAAUAUAACCUUUUACAUAUUUGAACAAUUUCCAAGCUGGGGCUAGCACCACCCCUGCUGGGAGUCAGAAUCUGGACACUUUCUGGACCGUAAUUGCUCACCUUGUUGGGACACCUACGAGCCACUCUUUCGGGGGAAUGUUUUCUGUCUGUUUGUUUUCUGGCUUCUUCCCCAAUAUUAGCAGUUCUACCAUGGGGUGGCUGGGUGGGUGGAAGGGACCCACGACAUUCAGGAAAGUGAGGAGCAGUUUCUGUGAUUAUAGCAGACCCAUUCACUGGAAUUUUUCCUGACAUCUCUCCAUGACCUUUAUGCCUCCAAGGGCCUGGACACAAUGCAGCAGCUCUCCAGCUGGGACAGGGCACAUGAGGGGGUAUCAUACAUGAGUGUUCCCCCAAGUGGGGCUGUGGCCACUGCAGAGCAGCCCAGGGGACCUUGCUGUGCACAGCCCUAUGUCCUGGGGUUUCCCGCAAAGCUUUGCCCUGUCUGGUGAGACGGCUGCCAGACAGUAUGAGAUGAAAGACACCGUUCACACUUAAUGGUGACUGGAAUGUGCGCCAUGUAAACCAGAUGAUGUGGAGACCAAUUCAUAACCACUUCACAGUUCAAUGAUGAAUGGUGGGUCCCUUGUACUGACUCUUUAACUAGCUCCCUUCAAGGAACAGGCGGUUUCCGAGAUCGUCUUAAAGCAGCGUGGGAUGUCCAGGCCCUGCCCAGGUCCUAUCUUUUCUUCCAGCACCAUCCACCUCCCUGAAAUCUUCUCAUAGCACCUGGUCCUCACCUCGUUCUUCUCGUUGAAUUCUGUUUCCUCCUUGGUGUCUACCUUGCUACAUUCAUUCCACAGGCAUCUCUGUUCUAUUAGGCAGUCCUUUCUGUAAGCAUUUCCCAUGGAUAUUAUAACCUAACCUUCAAGCUUUGUCAAAACUUAUCAGCAGAAUUCUGCUUGUAUCUUGGGCCAGAAUGAGUCACAGCCCAUCCCUGGAUGCAGAGAAGGGUAGGAACUCUGAUACUUGGCUUCUCAGCUUCCAUACAAGAGGUAGCAAUGGAGAAGAGUGUUGGGAGAAGAUUUUAGUAGGGAAUCAACAGUGUUGACUCCACACCUACCAUUGUCAUUCUAUUUUACAGAUUAAAAAACCAAGUCACAUGGAAGAUAAAUAACAUGCUCAACAUCACCCAGCCAGAAGUGGUGGAGACAUGGCCAACAUCACAGGGGACAACUCCUGAGCCUGUGCUAGGAACAGCCAGUCUUCCUGAAUUCAUGAUAAAGUAAACAUAAGAAAGGAAAACUUUUGUACGGUGAACUUGGCUAAAAAGAAGAAUGACGUCUCUGGGAACUUUUGCUGCUUAAAGGAAUGAGAGCAAAAUCCUGGCAUGACCAUGAUCCUUCAAUGAGCACCACUGUGUUGCUGCAUUCUGUCUGGCCAAUCUAGUCUAUAAUAGUUUUUUGUUUUGUUAUGAUUUUUGUGUGUUUUUUUUUUUUGUUUGUUUGUUUGUUUGAUGGAGUUUUGCUGUUAUUGCCCAGGCUGGAGUGCAAUGGCAUGAUCUCAGCUCACUGCAACCUCCUCAUCCCAGGUUCAAGCGAUUCUCCUGCCUCAGACUCCUAAGUACCUAGGAUUACAGGCACCUGCCACCACACCCAGCUAAUUUUUGUAUUUUUGGUAGAGAUGGGGUUUCACCGUGUUGGCCAGGCUUGUCUCGAACUCCUGACCUCAGGAGACCCACCUGCCUCGGCCUCCCAAAGUGCUGGGAUUACAAGUGUGAGCCAUCGCUUUCGGCUAUAAUAGUUUUUAUGCAUCAUAUUAAUUCUGGGUUUUUGCUUUAAAAAGAAGGCUUUUUUUUUUUUUUUUUUUUUUUUUUGUAGGGAAGUAAGACUGGAUGGUGGGUUAGCAGGGGACUUGAGAAAAGGCAGUCAGUGCUACAGGUGAAGGGAUAUUAACCUCAGGAGUGACCAGUGGGAUGCAACCAGCCGUUGGGGCUUAAAACUCAAGCACAUUUCUCGGAUGAUAAUUUCAAAGAAGUAGCUAGUUUUGGUUGAGGCUGCCUCUGGACUAUCCCCAGCUUCUCAGUGGAACUCGGUGUUUCUGAAUGAAUCACAAUAAAGAAGCAUUACUUGUGGGAUGUGGCCAACCUUUCUGUUCAGCUUUUAUUGCAGAGCUGAUGGCAACAGCUGGACUUUACAAAAGUGAUGGUGGCUCAAAGUCUUUCUGUUCCACUGUGUCUCAUAAAGCUUUUAUGAAGCCUCAGUCAUCUCUUCAGCAGAUCCUGUGUCAUGAAGAAGGAUGCAGAGAACACAAGGAGCACCCCAUCCAUGGUGCAUCCCAGGUUUCUAAACCUUCCAGGGAGGGGAAAUCAGCAUUUUUGGCUCUGGCCAAGAAACCAAAUUGCUGAAGCUAUGGGACUUGUUCCAAACUGCAAGAUCUUAUUUGACGGGAAUGAUUGUAGCUUUAGGUAAUUCUGUGGCUUAUUGGCUUGGGUGAGAGCUCCCUAGUGUCUGCUGGAAUGUGAUGGCUGUAAGACACAGGGAGGAGAAAUGGAAAAGGAGGGUCUUUAUUGACCCAACAGAGCCUUGUAAAAAAGCACCAACUACAUAUAUGCAGUCUGUGCAUUUCAAAAGUAACAAACAAACAAAAUCAAUUUACCAACUCUUGGGAGAGAAAAUGGAUUAUCAUUCACUGCAAAUUCUCCUAGGUAAACAGGAGAGUGCUAUAUCUGUGCAGAGAGAAAAGUUUUAUAUAUGCUCAACUGUGGGUCCUCAGUAUAAUACAGUCCCAUCAUGUAUUUCCUGAGACAUCUACUAAGGAGACUUCCUAGAAUUGAAUCUUUCUCAUCUUUUUUUCUCUUCUCUUCCUCAAGUCUUCUGUGACAUGUGAUAAUACAAAACAAAAUACAGGUCUUAGAAUAAAUGUACCUGGAAUCAAGUCAUUGUGAAAUGUUGGGCUUCUUUGACCCUCAGUAUUCCCAUCGCAAACCAGGAAUAAUAAGACCUGCAUUUCUCCAUUGACCAUUAGUAAAUUGAGCUUCAAAUACCUAGUUAGAGAAAAAGUUAAAUAUUGCCUCCAAAGCUUAACAUGCAUUUUAAUACUUUUACUUUCUGCUUUUAAAAAUAUGCUUCUCAUUUUCUUCCCCUGACUAGCUCUUUGACUGCCAGAGAGAUGUAUAAGCAUCUUGAGCUCCACUGGUAGAGUUAUGAGUUCUUGAAUUUAGAGGUUAUUAGAAGAAUUUUUUCCUACUGUUUUCAUGUAAAUUACCACUCAGGAAAAAAUGGUGGAAUAGAAUCUUUUUUUCCCUUUUAUAGUGUCUUUUUCAUUGCUUCCAAAUUUUUCAUAACUUUUCUACAGCUACCAAUACCAUCUUAUAUCAUCCAGACUGCCAUUGCAAUACACUCUUAACUCUUUCCAUGCUAGCACAUCCUAUACAUAGCAUUCAUUCAUUCAUUCGCUCACUUAGCAAACAUACCUGGUAGAGCCUGAACAUUCUAUUAGGCACUAGACAUAUUAAUGAGUUCAAAUAUCUUCUUCAGAUUCCCAUCACUUGUCAUAUAAAUGUCAAGGCCCAUUGCCUAUGAUUCAGAAACCUCUGCAUUUACUUAUUUCAACCUGCUUUGAUACCUUUAACCUACUUUUUCCUUUUUUUUCUUUCUUUUAAGAAAUAUGGUCUUGCAAUGUUACCCAGGAUAGAUUUUAACCCGUAGGCUCAAGGGAUCUUCCUGCCUCAGCCUCUUGGUUAGUUGGAACUAUAGGUGUAUGCUGCUGGCCCCGGCUCAACCUGCUUUUUAAUUCUUUCUCUCCCUACACGGUAUUAUGAACUCUCAACUCCAGGUGGACCAAUCUCCUCUUGUGUCUGUGCCUUUGCUUUGGUGGUCCUCUUCUGGGUGUGCCUGCCUAUCUAGAUUUCACUUGUUCAAACCUAAUAUUCAGUGGGAAGUUCAGGUAUUACUGCUUUUGUGAAACUCCCCUGACAACAAAGGUUCAUAGGACCCUUGUUGUUUAAUAUCUGAAUUUAUAUAAUUAAAACUGCUAGUUAUCUUUUUGAGCAUAUAGGAAAACAACAAGAUUUCAAGAUACUUAAAUGAAAAGAGGGAAAGAUACUGGUUUAUCUGUUCUCUCACCCUCCAUAACAUCUCAUACAGUCUUACUCAACAAAUACUUGCCUAUUUAUUUUUUAAGCCACAUAAUAACACAUAAAAAUGGAAAGUGAUUCACUGUUGGGGUUAUUCCAGUAGUUUAUUGCUUCCCUCUUAUUUAUUUAUUUUUUGGAUGACUUCAGAUACCAACUUGGUUCAAACCCUUAUCAAAAAUGACCUUUCCAACUUGGCUCCUGUGGAGUCUUCAUCCUUCUUCUGUCAUUGCUAUAGAAAUACAGGAUUCCCUAGUCUAGUCUGGAGAGCACAGUAUCAGGUAGUGGAAAGAACUGCAGCCUUGCACAGCAAACUAGAUUUGAGUUCUAAUUCUCCCUGAAAAUUGUUUGACUCUAGAAAUAGCUUGCCUCUCUGAACCUCAAGUCCCUCUUCUGUAAAGCAGAAUUAAUAAAACCCAUUGCAGGGCUGUUGUGAAAAUAAAAUGUGAUAAUAUAUGAAUAUAGUACCUAUUUUGCUCACUUCACAGUAGGUGAUUGCUAAAUUAUAGCUAUUAUUUAUAUCGACCAUGAAUGCUAUAGUGUUCUGCCUCUUCUAGGGCUCUGGAAGAACCACUGAACUUACAGCGAUGCAUACCAGCCUACCAUGUAGUGGGCUCUCCCAAAUUGUAAUUUUGGGAGCUGUCCAGCAUGCAGACUCCUUCCUUGUUGGUACAGAGCCUCUUUUCUGUAGUAUGGUUGGAGAAUAGUGGCCUCUACUUAUCACAGAUGUCAGAGACUUCAAAUCCUCCCUCUUUUCAUCCCUAGGUUGAUAGAGUUUAGUAAAUGUCCAGAGUUUGGCCCAUUAUAUCCCUCUGCCACCUUGCCUCUGAGAUUUUGAAUCCUGACUGUGUGACUCUUGCUUCUGGGAUUUUGAAACCUGAGAAUAUGUCCCAAAGCUAAAUACUCACGUAAAAUUUAUUCACAGCUCAGGCAGCUGCAGUGGUGGUAUUUGGCUACAUUCUUCCUUCUUCCUACAAGAUCAUUGUUGAGCUUCCUCCUCUUUAAUCAUCCAGACUGCUACAGUUCUUGUUCUUCUAAGUCUCCUGUUGCUGAGAACCUCUGAUAAACUUCCAGUAAAUCACUAACCCCUCUUCCCCAAUUUUUCUCCCUAUGUUCUUGAAACCAAGAGCUCAGAGUGAUAUACUACAUGUCCCUGGUGCUUCAUUCAAUGACAGAGCAUCCAUGGUGCACUGGUCCAUCCUUUGAUCUUGUCCCCAUGACUGACUGUAAGGCUUGGUGAAGUCUUCUUCUGUCAUCGUUUUUGUAUCAUAGUUUCCAGGGAAUCCUGGUUUUUAAGGAAUCCUGGAAUCCUGGAGCCAGAAAGAAUGUUGAGCUGCCCUCUAGCUAAGCCAUUGGCUUUCCAGUCACCUCCUGUCUAUUUUCACAGUAUGACAUUUCUCAACUUGAAUUGUUUCCAUGUUCCGGUUUUCCCCUCCUCCUUUAGAAGAAUGGCUCAACCAAUAAAAUUCUGGCACCUUCUCUUUUCAACACCUGAACAUGUUAUCAGGAGACACAAAUUCUCGUGUAACCUUUGCUGUCAAUAGUCGUUGUGUAAGCCAAUUCAUCUCUUUGUCCUUCAGUCUUCUCACCUAUAAACUAGGCUAAGUGGCAGCAGAGGGUCAUUUUGAGGGGAAAAUUAAAAAAUUGUCAUGGUGGAAUAUUUCAAAAACACGACUGGAAGUAAUAAGCAGAUGAUGCCCUGAAUAUUUUUCACAGACCAAUGAUCAUAAAAUGAAUGGUAACAACAUCAGGAAAGAUGGGGUGACUUUUGGGUUUAGCUAUUAGCCAUGGAGAAUUGUGCGUUGAGUGGCAUUGAGGGGCUGGGGGCUGAAUGAAAGCUACUGUUUUUCUAAUCAGGUAGUGACCUCUUCUGGGGAAAGAAAGAGUCUAGCAGAGCCUCAGCAUUAGGAGACAUGUGCAACGUUUGUACCAAGGCAACCAAUGAUAGAGAGGAUGGUCCCCAGAGGGAGAAGCUCUUGGGGUAGAUGUUUGCCCUGGGCAGCCAGGUGGAAAACAAAAAUAAAUGAAAUGAAACUAAAAAUCACUUUCUGGGUAGCUUUACCCAAAACAGCUCUCAUUGAGAGAGCUAAUGAAACCUUGUGGACCUGUGUAUGCAUUGUGGUGAGGUUACCGUCCGCGCAAGCUGGCCAGAUUCAAGAACCCAAGAUUGGUUUUUAGGGCGAAUGGUUCAAAAAAGGUCCAGAUGGGAAACGUAUUUGUGUGCAUUCCUAUCUGGAAGGAAAAAGGACUCUUUCAGAGGGACAAACCAAAAUUCAAACGAAUGGUGAGGUCUAGAGUGGCGAGUGACUUUUGCCCAGUAGUCCUUUAGGUGGUAGGAAAGGGGCAAGUUCCUAUUGCAAUCUUGUCAGUUGAACCAGAGUAGUACAAACUGUAAAAGUUUUUUUUUCUCUCUCUCUCUACCACACAUCAGUAUAUUCAUCUGCUACUUAAAGGUCUUGGAAGGAGGAAGAAAGAAAAUCUCCAGGAAGUCUUCUGGGUGACUUCAGAAACAAUUGCAUUACCGUUUUCCAGGUACCCAAAGGACUUAAAUUGUGCUAGAGAAUGGAACAUUAAAUCAGACAGGUUCUGCAUUGAAGAGUGCUGCACGACAUUACUGAAGAUACAAGCUAUUGCUUUCACUUAGACCCGUGGACAGCAAGGUGCAAAGCUGGUGAAAAUCAUAUUGUCUUAUCUAUUUUUGAACAGUAUUAGAAGAAUGGGUCUCAAAAGGUGAAGGGACUUGCCCAAGGCCAACUCAGAAACAUAUGGGCAUAACUCAAAUUAGAGCUGGGGUUUCUGACCAUCUUUUUUUUGUUUGUUUUCUGUUAGCAGUCACUCCUCUUCCACCUUUCUCCAGCACCGCACUGCAUAUUAAAUUGACUAGUCAUAUUAAUAUUAAUAUCACCUGGAUAUUAGAUAGAUUAAUAAUAUGGUAGCUACAGUUUAAACAACUACCACAUGCUAGUCUGUGUCCAUUCAUUCAUUCAACAAAUAUUUAUUGCGUGCCUACAAUGUGCUAGGCACUGGAGAUACAAUAGCAAGCAAAAAUGAUAAACUCAGCCAUUGUCAAAAAUGUCAUCAACAAAGAUAUAACUAAAACUGUGCAAUCUCUGAAGGCAAGAGAUUUGACGUGGUAAGAGGUUGUGAUGGUAAGGGUGGGGCUAUUAGUAUAGGGAGAACUUCCUGAAGGAAGUGAAAAUUCUGUUCAUGUGUUGAUCAGGCCUAAAAAUUUCAGCAUCAUCCUUGACUUCAUUCAUUUUCUUACACUCUAUAUCCUAUCCACCGGCAAAUUUGAUUGGCUCUGCAUUUGAAAUAUGUUCAGAAUCCAGUUGCUUCUUACCACCUCUGCUGCCAUCCUCCUUUGCCCAAACAUUUCUCGUCUCCGGUCUGUAUUGUUGGAAUAUGGUGUCUCUGCUUUCACUCUUGUCUAUCCAUGCUCAAAUAUAUUUGGACAAUGCUGGGUCAAAAUUAAUUUCCAAGUCUUGUACUGCCGCAGGACUUCUCAGAGGCUUUCACAUACUAACCAAUGUACUGACUCUCCAAGAAGUGGGGACCACAGGGACUCUUUUCUUAUAGUGCAUUUCACACAACUGCUGUUUCGUGGAAGACAUUCUGAAAAACACAGAAAAUGUUUAUGAAAACAUUAAUACAUCACAUAAAGGAUUAUUAUUAUUCCACAGGAGUACAUGACGGGAAAUGGAGCCACCUACAACAGUUUCAUGAACAGGGAGUCAGGUUUACUGAGUCCUAGCUGCAGUUACCUUUUUCUGAGCUGGGUGGCAUUCAACAAGUUAUUUAAUAUCUCUGGGUUUCCUCAUCUGUGAAAUACGGACAAUAAUUCCUGUCCUGUCUACUUUGCCAGGCUAUUGGAAGAAACACAUAAAAUUAAAAAUGUUAAAGAAAGAACUUCCCCUUCCCUCCACUACACCAAACACGAACUAAACCUGACACCAUUACUGUGCUAGUGUGGACACUUAGAAAAUCAUUAGUAUUUUCAGUUACACGAUCUCUGCACUUAAUCAAUGAGCAACAAAUUAACAUUUGGUUUAUUUAUUUAAGCAACCAGGAGUAAAACCCAAAGAGUUGCUGGCUGUUGGCUGGAAAUCAAACAAAACAAAGAAUUAAUUGGAGCUAAGGCUGUGGAAAGUGCCAGUCUGUGACAUGCACAGAAGAAAGCAAGGAAAGCCUGGAGUGACCUGGAUUGCAUAGCAGAAAGAAGAAUCCCUGCAGGGGCAGUGUGAAAAGACUAGGGAGGCUGGUUCACAGGACAAGGCAGCCAUGGACAUAAAAGGAUGCCUCAGUGAGUGAGGAUGAUGAUUUAGCUGUUUGUGGACAUGUAAGUCUCCCACUAUUUGUCCGUUGCCAUUCUUAUCUUUACUCCCUCAUCCACCACUUCUGUCCUCUCAGACCCUCACUCAGAGAGAGUGAUCUUAAGAAAGGACCCCUUCAAUCUCUUGUUCCCAGAGAGGCCAUGGGUGCAUCUCAUCUGCUUCACUGUGUCACCCAACACUGUGUGCAGCAUCCAGGGUAUUAGAAGCUCACUCAUCUGGACACCAGCUGCCAGGAGGUGGCAGGUAGACAGAGAGGAAUGUUUUCAAGGGAUCUCAUCUGAACAUUCCUUCUGAUUGAUUGCUUAGCAGAUUCGUGGCAAAACAAAGUUUUCUGGACCCUCUUACCUCCUUUGUCUACUUAAAUGACAAUAAUAUUUAUUGAUCAAUUGCAA